rnacentral:rRNA from 1 species
AUUGAACGCUGGCGGCAGGCCUAACACAUGCAAGUCGAACGAGUGGCGGACGGGUGAGUAAUGUAUGGGAAACUGCCCGAUGGAGGGGGAUAACUACUGGAAACGGUAGCUAAUACCGCGUACAAUCGGAUGUGCCCAGAUGGGAUUAGCUUGUAUGUGAGGUAACGGCUCACCUAGGCGACGAUCCCUAGCUGGUCUGAGAGGAUGACCAGCAACACUGGAACUUAGACACGGUCCAGACGCCUACGGUAGGCAGCAGUGGGGAAUAUUGGACAAUGGGCGAAAGCCUGAUGCAGCCAUGCCGCGUGUAUUAAGAAGGCCUUCGGGUUUUAAAGUCCUUUCAGCGGGGAGGCGUUACCCGCAGAAGAAGCACCGGCUAACUCCGUGCCAGCCGCCGCGGUAAUAC